rnacentral:rRNA from 1 species
AUUGAACGCUGGCGGCAUGCCUUACACAUGCAAGUCGAACGGUAACGCGGGGCAACCUGGCGACGAGUGGCGAACGGGUGAGUAAAGUAUCGGAACGUGCCCAGUAGUGUGGGAUAGCCCGGCGAAAGCCGGAUUAAUACCGCAUAAGACCUGAGGGUGAAAGCGGGGGAUCGCAAGACCUCGCGCUAUUGGAGUGGCCGAUAUCAGAUUAGGUAGUUGGUGGGGUAAAGGCCUACCAAGCCGACGAUCUGUAGCUGGUCUGAGAGGACGACCUGCCACACUGGGACUGAGACACGGCCCAGACUCCUACGGGAGGCAGCAGUGGGGAAUUUUGGACAAUGGGCGAAAGCCUGAUCCAGCCAUGCCGCGUGCGGGAAGAAGGCCUUCGGGUUGUAAACCGCUUUUGUCGGGGAAGAAAUCUUCUGGGCUAAUACCUUGGAAGGAUGACGGUACCCGAAGAAUAAGCACCGGCUAACUACGUGCCAGCCGCCGCAGUAA